AUGCCCGCCACGGCACCGGCCGACGUCGUGGCGGCCAUCCGGCCGGCGACCCCGGCCUACAAGACCCCGGUGCCCCUCCCUCUAACCCUAGCCCCCGACCCCCCUCGCUCGCGCUCUCCCCACAGCCUCUCGCUCACCCCUCCCCCUCUCUCUGUUUUGACGGCCGGGCGGGACGUCACCACGCCGUUGUCAAGCCCGCGGCCACCGGCCACCGCUCGCCGCACCGACGAGUUCAGGAGGAUCGCCAUCGUCGACCUCCGGAGCCGCACCGAUUUGCCGCCAUCGAUCUCGUCUUCGACAUCCUGCACCGACGGCCGCCGUCGUCGAUUCGCUCGACCCCGACCGUCCCCAGCCUCCCCGACCACGUCCCCGGCUCCUUGUAUUUGCUCGCGCUGCUCCUGCUGCCGCCACGCGCGGCCGCGCCGCGCCCGCCUGCGUCUACUGCUGCUCUUGCCGCGCGCCUCCCAACUGCUGCUGCUCGUGGCCGCUGCCUCAUGUGUUGCCGUUGCUGCCGCUAAAACUCUGUUCCUGCUCCCUGCUAGCUCCGCUGUUGUUGCUGAUUUGCUGAUGCUGCUGCCACUUCCCGCGCCGGCGUACGCCUCCGCCCGCCUGCGUGUGUGCCCCGUCGUAGCCAGGCCACGCCCACGCGCGGCUGCCGCCGCUUGUCACCAUGCAGUGCCGCGCCCCGCGCCCAGCUCGGCAUCAUGGUUCAGAGGCCCAGGACAGGGGCCAGGAGAAGGAAGGGGCCGCGGCCGCCAGGGCCGUGGCAGGGGUCGAGGACGAGGUGAGUCCCAGAGGGAUCAGCGGGAUUGGCAGAAUCAGGAACCAGAAGAUCAUGGAGGAGAUGUGGCUAUGGAUGAAGUGGAAAACAUCAGGAAAAGGGGAGCAAUGGUUAAGAGCUCGUCAGUGCAAAGUAACACGCUGCUUCUGCCGCCACCUCCAGGGACCGUGGCUAGCUCCCCAUCAAAGCACGAACCGAAGAGGACCAAGACGAUACUCCCCAACAACGACAACUCUAUGGUGAAGAACCUAGUUCUAAACAUUGACAAUGAUGCGCGUUUGGCGGGCUCCCGUGAGGAGGCCAAGGCACCACCACAGGGCUACGCCAAGAUCCAUGUUGAUGCCGCGGUGCGGCAUGAGCAAGGUGGAGCAGCGGGAGCGGUAUGCAGGGAUGAUGGAGGAAAUUAUUUGGGAAGCUCGGCGUUGGUCGUUUAUGGUGUGUGCAACCCAACUAUACUAGAAGCAAUGGCGUGCAGGGAGGCGUUUGCACUUGCAGAGGACCUGAACUUGACGAACUGCGUGAUAUCAACUGACUGCAAGCAACUGGUGUCCGACAUCUCCAAAGGAACCUUAGGGGCGCAUGGGGCGAUUAUUAAUGAGAUCAGGGCAAAAGCCACUUCUUUUAAUUCUGUUUUCAUUUUUGAGGGUCGUGCUGUGAAUUAUGAGGCACACAAAUUAGCUCGCUUUUCUCUUUCUCAGGGCUUGGGCCGCCAUGUUUGGCUUGGCACACCCCAUGACCUUCGUUGUAUCCCACAUCAUGUGGUUUUCGGUGAUGAAUAA
rnacentral:rRNA from 1 species